UGACAGGUAACUCGGUCAGGAGAGUAUCGGUCUGUUAAACCGAAAGUCGCGGGUUCGAGUCCCGCCCUCUCAGCCA
rnacentral:tRNA from 1 species